GUAGGGGCCGAGCGUUGUCCGGAGUUACUGGGCGUAAAGCGCGCGCAGGCGGCUCGUCAAGCCUGACGUGAAAGCCCCCGGCUCAACCGGGGAGGGUCGUCGGGGACUGGCGAGCUUGAGGUCGGCAGGGGCUGGUGGAAUUCCCGGUGUAGUGGUGAAAUGCGUAGAGAUCGGGAGGAACACCCGUGGCGAAGGCGGCCAGCUGGGCCGGACCUGACGCUGAGGCGCGAAGGCGUGGGGAGCGAACGGGAUUAGAUACCCCGGUAGUCCACGCAGUAAACGAUGCAGACUAGGCGUGGGGGGACUUGACCCCCUCCGCGCCGAAGCCAACGCGUGAAGUCUGCCGCCUGGGGAGUACGGCCGCAAGGCUA
rnacentral:rRNA from 1 species